GUUUGGAGUGCGUGAGUAUUUCUUGUGAUGGACUGACAACUCAUCCAAAGUUGGUUCCAGUCUAGAACCUAAUGCCGACAAAACAGCAUCAUGUGCUGGUGUGGUGGACUGAUUUUUAGCAUAUAAUUUGAUAAAUAUUUUACAUAUCUUUAUUUGUAAACUAGACAAAGCAACUGUAAUAUUAGUGUUUUAGGAGGCAUGUUUUACUUCACUGAUGAGAAGAGAGGUGCUUUGAUCCAUCCACCGCAGGAAGGCCAUAAACUGACUAAACAAGGCAACUGGGGGAUGAGUUGUACCUGAGCGCUUUCAUUGGUAACUAGUCAGCAAGGGACUGGAAAAUGAAUUCUAUUGGUCUAAAGUAUGGCUGUUUAGGAUUGGUUUUAAAACAGAAGCCAUUCUGUACUACGAUGCCCCAUUGGUUUGUGUUUUGUGGUAAAAAUGAUAUAAAGUUUGUCACCUUGCCUUUACCUCUCUAUCUCAACAUUUGGCCAUGAAGAGAAGACCAUGAUGAAGACAAUUUGGCAGCCAUAUUGAGACAGGCCUGUUUCAAUACUGCAUAAAAUAGCCAUGUGGUAGCAAAGCAACCUAGAAUGAAGAAAAGCUGACAGCUGCCUAGGGACACUUGAUGCAUUGCUACUUAGGCUGUAAGGGUAUGGUUUGCCAUUAUUUACAUAAUACUCUGCUUCCUUAAUGUUUUGGGCAUUUUUGUCUAAAAUGCAUAAUAAAUGUAUAACUUAACUCCUGCCUGAUCCAUUACUCUGUCUAACUGCCUGCUGCUGCUGAAGAAUAAGGGAAAGGGUGAGGAAGUGCUAAAGUACCUGAGUGGUCAGUGUAUGGGAUUUUACACAUUUUAUUAAAGUCUAACCAAAAAAGAGCAUAAAGGGGAAAUUAGGGACACCAUAGAAUGGAUGGGUGAGUGAUUUAGAAGGAUCCCAAUGGAGUAAUGCUCCGGAAAUGCAUUUCUCUAGCCUCUGAACCCCCCAAUUUACUGCAUUAAGACCACUGACAAAUAAAAAAACACAAGUGAUUGACCCGUUUGAAACUAAUGGUCUA